rnacentral:tRNA from 2 species
GCCAUUAUAGCUCAGAGGUAGAGCGCAUCAUUGGUAAUGAUGAGGUGGCGGGUUCAAGUCUCGCUUUUGGCA